UAAAAAUGGUGAAAAUUUCCUUGAAAUUGAUCAUUUUAAAUUACAAAAUCAAGGAAGUGUUGGUAUAUGUGAAUGGAGAAGCGAGGGAGCAUUUGUAUAUAUCAAACUAUUGGCGACUGAAGUGGUUUGGUGGAUGGGCAAAUGAGGUGACGAUAAAGGAGAUGGUGAGAGUAGUGAAGACUAUUCUCGCCUAUGAAGAAGUAGGGGUGAUUUACGUAGAGGAGGAGGUUGAGAGAAACCUUUUCAUCACGGGAUGGAACUAGAUUUUUCAUAAUUCCAAAAAUAUCUAUGGUAGCGAACCAAUUAAUAGUGGAUAAAUUUGGCCUGAUCUUCAUCAAUAAAUUCUUUAAUUAAAAGCAGCAAGUUCAAUAUACCAUGAAUAUUCAAAUUAUAAUCUCCCCACCUUCAAAAUAACCCCUACCCAAUUUGCGGAAAGUCAUAGAAAAUUAUCUCGAACGAAUAAACUACCACAAAAGAUCCAGCGAUAAAUAGAGCAUACUUACUCAUGAUUGGAUUAAUAAAAAUAUAAAUUUAAUAUGUAUUACA